CCGACUUUAGCUCAGUUGGAAGAGCAUCAGACUGUAAUAGGUUACCGCCGGCAUUAUCAUCUGGGUGUCGCCUGUUCGAACCAGGCAAGUCGGA